rnacentral:lncRNA from 1 species
AAAUUCUUUCCUGAAGAGCUACUGCCAACUCUUGCCUUUCUCAGGAAAGAGGAGAUGCUUCUGGAUUUCCUGGAACCUGGACAAACCAUCAACUCUGAGCACUACAUUCAGCUGCUGAUGAAGCUGAGGGCUUGAACUUCCAAAGUCAGGCCAGAGAAGACAAAGUUUCUCUUGCAGCACGAUAACACCAGGCACCAUACCAAUUUGAAGACCGUAGAGGACAUUGCCAGUCUUGGCAGGACUGUCCCACCACACCCACUAUAUAGUCCAAAUUUGAUGCUUUCUGACUUCCAUCAUUUCAGUCUGAUGAAGUAUGGACUGUGUGGGCAAUGUCAUCUUAGCAAUGGCACUAUCAUAACAGUUGUGAAUCACCUCCACUGGUUCAGCUUUUUAUAAGAACAGCAUGCAGGAUCUUGUUCGUUACUUAAAAAAAAAAAAAAAUGCCCAGCUGAUGUUGGUGACUAUGUUGAAAAAUAUUCCUCUGCAGCUGAGACUCUAUCAAAUAGUGUUAUUGUGCUCUAUAUCUGUUGUAAUUUCCAUGGAAAUAAAUAGGAGGCAUUACUCUUGAAGUAACCUACAUAUUUGUAUUCCUCAUUUCAACUGAUGUCAAACUAG